CGAAAGCCUGACGGAGCAAAACCGCGUGAGGGAGGAAGGCUCUUGGGUUGUAAACCUCUUUUCUCUGGGAAGAAGUUCUGACGGUACCAGAGGAAUAAGCCUCGGCUAACUCCGUGCCAGCAGCCGCGGUAAGACGGAGGAGGCAAGCGUUAUCCGGAAUUAUUGGGCGUAAAGCGUCCGCAGGCGGUUUAUUAAGUCUGUUGUUAAAGCCCACAGCUCAACUGUGGAACGGCAAUGGAAACUGAUGGACUUGAGUGCGGUAGGGGUAGAGGGAAUUCCCGGUGUAGCGGUGAAAUGCGUAGAGAUCGGGAAGAACAUCGGUGGCGAAAGCGCUCUACUGGACGGCAACUGACACUCAGGGACGAAAGCUAGGGGAGCG
rnacentral:rRNA from 1 species